UUACUGGUGGCUCAGAUGGUAAAGCGUCUGCCUGCAAUGCAGGAGACUUGGGUUCAAUCCCUGGUUCGAGAA
rnacentral:tRNA from 1 species